GAUGAACGCUGGCGGCGUGCCUAAUACAUGCAAGUCGAGCGAACAGACGAGGAGCUUGCUCCUCUGACGUUAGCGGCGGACGGGUGAGUAACACGUGGAUAACCUACCUAUAAGACUGGGAUAACUUCGGGAAACCGGAGCUAAUACCGGAUAAUAUAUUGAACCGCAUGGUUCAAUAGUGAAAGACGGUUUUGCUGUCACUUAUAGAUGGAUCCGCGCCGCAUUAGCUAGUUGGUAGGUAACGGCUUACCAAGGCAACGAUGCGUAGCCGACCUGAGAGGGUGAUCGGCCACACUGGAACUGAGACACGGUCCAGUCUCCUACGGGAGGCAGCAGUAGGGAAUCUUCCGCAAUGGGCGAAAGCCUGACGGAGCAACGCCGCGUGAGUGAUGAAGGUCUUCGGAUCGUAAAACUCUGUUAUUAGGGAAGAACAAAUGUGUAAGUAACUAUGCACGUCUUGACGGUACCUAAUCAGAAAGCCACGGCUAACUACGUG
rnacentral:rRNA from 1 species